AUUCUGGUUGAUCCUGCCAGUAGUUAUAUGCUUGUCUCAAAGAUUAAGCCAUGCAUGUCUAAGUACACACGAAUUAAAAGUGAAACCGCAAAAGGCUCAUUAUAUCAGUUAUGGUUCCUUAGAUCGUUAACAGUUACUUGGAUAACUGUGGUAAUUCUAGAGCUAAUACAUGCAAUUAAAACAUGAACCUUAUGGGACAUGUGCUUUUAUUAGGCUAAAACCAAGCGAUCGCAAGAUCGUUAUAUUGGUUGAACUCUAGAUAACAUGCAGAUCGUAUGGUCUUGUACCGACGACAGAUCUUUCAAAUGUCUGCCCUAUCAACUUUUGAUGGUAGUAUCUAGGACUACCAUGGUUGCAACGGGUAACGGGGAAUCAGGGUUCGAUUCCGGAGAGGGAGCCUGAGAAACGGCUACACAUCUAAGGAAGGCAGCAGGCGCGUAAAUUACCCACUCCCAGCUCGGGGAGGUAGUGACGAAAAAUUACAAUACAGGACUCAUAUCCGAGGCCCUGUAAUUGGAAUGAGUACACUUUAAAUCCUUUAACAAGGACCAAUUGGAGGGCAAGUCUGGUGCCAGCAGCCGCGGUAAUUCCAGCUCCAAUAGCGUAUAUUAAAGUUGUUGCGGUUAAAACGUUCGUAGUUGAACUUGUGCUUCAUACGGGUAGUACAACUUACAAUUGUGGUUAGUACUAUACCUUUAUGUAUGUAAGCGUAUUACCGGUGGAGUUCUUAUAUGUGAUUAAAUACUUGUAUUUUUUCAUAUGUUCCUCCUAUUUAAAAACCUGCACUAGUGCUCUUAAACGAGUGUUAUUGUGGGCCGGUACUAUUACUUUGAACAAAUUAGAGUGCUUAAAGCAGGCUUCAAAUGCCUGAAUAUUCUGUGCAUGGGAUAAUGAAAUAAGACCUCUGUUCUGCUUUCAUUGGUUUUCAGAUCAAGAGGUAAUGAUUAAUAGAAGCAGUUUGGGGGCAUUAGUAUUACGACGCGAGAGGGGAAAUUCUUGGACCGUCGUAAGACUAACUUAAGCGAAAGCAUUUGCCAAAGAUGUUUUCAUUAAUCAAGAACGAAAGUUAGAGGUUCGAAGGCGAUCAGAUACCGCCCUAGUUCUAACCAUAAACGAUGCCAGCUAGCAAUUGGGUGUAGCUACUUUUAUGGCUCUCUCAGUCGCUUCCCGGGAAACCAAAGCUUUUGGGCUCCGGGGGAAGUAUGGUUGCAAAGCUGAAACUUAAAGGAAUUGACGGAAGGGCACCACCAGGAGUGGAGCCUGCGGCUUAAUUGACUCAACACGGGAAAAC
rfam:Drosophila sechellia strain Rob3c scaffold_7577 genomic scaffold, whole genome shotgun sequence.